rnacentral:rRNA from 1 species
CGGGACGGGUGAGUAAUGUCUGGGAAACGUGCCCGAUGGAGGGGGAUAACUACUGGAACGGACAGCUAAUACCGCAUAACGUCGCAAGACCAAAGAGGGGGACCUUCGGGCCUCUUGCCAUCGGAUGUGCCCAGAUGGGAUUAGCUAGUAGGUGGGGUAACGGCUCACCUAGGCGACGAUCCCUAGCUGGUCUGAGAGGAUGACCAGCCACACUGGAACUGAGACACGGUCCAG